UAUAGUAUGUCCCUAAUAUUUAGUUACAUUGAAAUAAUUUUGUCUCACAUAAUCUCAACCAAUAUCAAAUAUGACUUCAUUCUAUAAAAUAAAAUUUCCAAUCAUACACAUUCAACCAAAGUCUUUGUCUAUAAGAUAAUCUUUUGAUGCUUGUCUGGAAUUAUCAUCUCAAAAGCUAAUGGUCUGGUUAUAAAUGGUCGUAUCAAUUAGGUAAAUAAUCAUAUAUGUCGAUCGAAACAUUUGAUGAUGGAGCCAAUGAUUUUGGUUGGUCCAAAUUGAGUAUAUCGAGCAUUGACAUGUUAAUAUAUCAAAUCGAAGCUCUGGAGAUGACGAGUUCAACUAUAUCUUUAAUUAUUUAAAAACAAAUGUAUGUGAUAGUGAAAACAUUUACAAUAUAUGUAAAGUUACAAAAAUGAGUUAUAUUGCGUAUUAUUUUUAACUUUAUAGGAUUACUUUGCAUUUUUUGAACGUUGAGGAUAAUGUUGCAUAAAUAGAUGACUUUGAGGGCUUUUUGCGCAAAACCUAUAAAAAUAUAAUACAAAAACAAAUACUGAGGCAGAAAAGAAGCUAUCGCCUCCUUCAGCCGAUAAGCGUCUAUACUCUCUCGUUUUUUCGAGGAUGUUCAUGCC
rnacentral:sRNA from 1 species